rnacentral:rRNA from 1 species
AAAUUGAAGAGUUUGAUCAUGGCUCAGAUUGAACGCUGGCGGCAGGCCUAACACAUGCAAGUCGAACGGUAACAGGAAGCAGCUUGCUGCUUUGCUGACGAGUGGCGGACGGGUGAGUAAUGUCUGGGAAACUGCCUGAUGGAGGGGGAUAACUACUGGAAACGGUAGCUAAUACCGCAUAACGUCGCAAGACCAAAGAGGGGGACCUUCGGGCCUCUUGCCAUCGGAUGUGCCCAGAUGGGAUUAGCUAGUUGGUGGGGUAACGGCUCACCAAGGCGACGAUCCCUAGCUGGUCUGAGAGGAUGACCAGCCACACUGGAACUGAGACACGGUCCAGACUCCUACGGGAGGCAGCAGUGGGGAAUAUUGCACAAUGGGCGCAAGCCUGAUGCAGCCAUGCCGCGUGUAUGAAGAAGGCCUUCGGGUUGUAAAGUACUUUCAGCGGGGAGGAAGGGAGUAAAGUUAAUACCUUUGCUCAUUGACGUUACCCGCAGAAGAAGCACCGGCUAACUCCGUGCCAGCAGCCGCGGUAAUACGGAGGGUGCAAGCGUUAAUCGGAAUUACUGGGCGUAAAGCGCACGCAGGCGGUUUGUUAAGUCAGAUGUGAAAUCCCCGGGCUCAACCUGGGAACUGCAUCUGAUACUGGCAAGCUUGAGUCUCGUAGAGGGGGGUAGAAUUCCAGGUGUAGCGGUGAAAUGCGUAGAGAUCUGGAGGAAUACCGGUGGCGAAGGCGGCCCCCUGGACGAAGACUGACGCUCAGGUGCGAAAGCGUGGGGAGCAAACAGGAUUAGAUACCCUGGUAGUCCACGCCGUAAACGAUGUCGACUUGGAGGUUGUGCCCUUGAGGCGUGGCUUCCGGAGCUAACGCGUUAAGUCGACCGCCUGGGGAGUACGGCCGCAAGGUUAAAACUCAAAUGAAUUGACGGGGGCCCGCACAAGCGGUGGAGCAUGUGGUUUAAUUCGAUGCAACGCGAAGAACCUUACCUGGUCUUGACAUCCACGGAAGUUUUCAGAGAUGAGAAUGUGCCUUCGGGAACCGUGAGACAGGUGCUGCAUGGCUGUCGUCAGCUCGUGUUGUGAAAUGUUGGGUUAAGUCCCGCAACGAGCGCAACCCUUAUCCUUUGUUGCCAGCGGUCCGGCCGGGAACUCAAAGGAGACUGCCAGUGAUAAACUGGAGGAAGGUGGGGAUGACGUCAAGUCAUCAUGGCCCUUACGACCAGGGCUACACACGUGCUACAAUGGCGCAUACAAAGAGAAGCGACCUCGCGAGAGCAAGCGGACCUCAUAAAGUGCGUCGUAGUCCGGAUUGGAGUCUGCAACUCGACUCCAUGAAGUCGGAAUCGCUAGUAAUCGUGGAUCAGAAUGCCACGGUGAAUACGUUCCCGGGCCUUGUACACACCGCCCGUCACACCAUGGGAGUGGGUUGCAAAAGAAGUAGGUAGCUUAACCUUCGGGAGGGCGCUUACCACUUUGUGAUUCAUGACUGGGGUGAAGUCGUAACAAGGUAACCGUAGGGGAACCUGCGGUUGGAUCACCUCCUUACCUUAAAGAAGC